rnacentral:lncRNA from 1 species
GUCUGGCAAGAGCAGUUAUCUGGAGGGCAGCAGCAUCCCAGCCUGGCUUCCCUACAGCACGGAGGGCUCCCGCGGCAGCCCUUCGUCCCCGCACUGACAGCCCGGUGCUGGCAGCUUCUCCAGCAYGGUGCCGAGGGUCUGGUGGCAGAGAGGUGGCUCAAAGCUGGGAAUGAAAAUGGCCUGUCGAACCGCAGAAGUCAAGGCAGUCCUCUGCCAGUGGCUCCCCUGAACACGUGCCCUGCUCAGCCAUCAGCAGAGGAAGACCAAGAGGUGGCCUUGGCGGUUCCUGUGUGCCACGCAGCCUCGGGCAGAGGCGUUCCUCUCGGCCGCUGCCUUUCCAACACGGGCGCUGCAGGGAAGAGCCAGCCUGGCACCGCUGCUGCGCUCCAGAGCGUGGUCCUGCCGGCUCUGCGUGUCCACCUUCCUCAGCGCAGCAGGAAGAAAGCUCAGCUCGGGGCCUGGUCCUCCAUGCCUGGAACUCGCUGCAGGAGUCUUGCAGUAUGAGAGCGCUGUGCUGUCGCUCGUGCUUCCCCUAGGUCUGGCCUGGGCAGGAUUUACACUGCUUUUUUUAUAGAAGCUGUAUCAUCAGAAUGCUACUUAGUGUGGCAGGUGGUUAGUGUCUGCCACCACUCUUAGUGCCUGCCUGGCACCUUCUGAUUAAAAACAACAACAAAAAAAAGCACUACCAUAAUUGCUGGCCCUCUUGCAUCAGCAGAAAUGAAUGCAGCUUCAGAGCAGAGGAAAAGCAUGUGCUUGGCUCUCCGGGAGGUGAAAGGCUGCUCUUCACCCUGGGCCAGCCCAGGGCACCCUGAGCAGCACAGAGCAAGGGCUGCAGAAAGGCACGUGCACAGCCCGCGGAGCGAGGGAGCAGCGAGCUGCGUGCCAUUGCCGCAGCUCUCAAGCAAACGAGGUGGCUGGAUGCAUGUGCAUCGAUGACGGCGCUGUGAGUGGUGCAGCCAGCUGCGGGAACUGCAAGGGUGAGUACAGUUUUCUGUUGGUAAAUAAUCACAUUUGGAGGAUGC